rnacentral:rRNA from 1 species
AGACAGAGGGUGCGAACGUUGCUCGGAAUUACUGGGCGUAAAGCGCGCGUAGGCGGUUUGCUCAGUCGGAUGUGAAAGCCCAGGGCUCAACCUUGGAACUGCAUACGAUACUGGCAAACUAGAGUGUGAGAGAGGAUAGUGGAAUUUCCGGUGUAGCGGUGAAAUGCGUAGAUAUCGGAAGGAACAUCAGUGGCGAAGGCGACUGUCUGGCUCAACACUGACGCUGAGGUGCGAAAGCGUGGGUAGCAAACAGGAUUAGAAACCCCAGUAGUCC